rnacentral:rRNA from 2 species
GGACUACCCGGGUAUCUAAUCCUGUUUGCUCCCCACGCUUUCGCACCUCAGUGUCAGUAUGAGCCCAGGUGGUCGCCUUCGCCACUGGUGUUCCUUCCUAUAUCUACGCAUUUCACCGCUACACAGGAAAUUCCACCACCCUCUGCCCUACUCUAGCUCGCCAGUUUUGGAUGCAGUUCCCAGGUUGAGCCCGGGGAUUUCACAUCCAACUUAACGAACCACCUACGCGCGCUUUACGCCCAGUAAUUCCGAUUAACGCUUGCACCCUCUGUAUUACCGCGGCUGCUGGCAC